rnacentral:rRNA from 1 species
UACGUAGGGUGCGAGCGUUGUCCGGAAUUAUUGGGCGUAAAGAGCCCAUAGGCGGUGUGUCACGUCGAUCGUGAAAACUUACAGCUUAACUGUGAGCGUGCGGUCGAUACGGGCAUCACUGGAGUUCGGCAGGGGAGACUGGAAUUCCCGGUGUAGCGGUGAAAUGCGCAGAUAUCAGGAGGAACACCGGUGGCGAAGGCGGGUCUCUGGGCCGAUACUGACGCUGAGGAGCGAAAGCGUGGGGAGCGAACAGG